CCUACGGGUGGCAGCAGUGGGGGAUAUUGGACAAUGGGGGCAACCCUGACCCAGCGACGCCGCGUGAGUGAAGAAGUACUUCGGUAUGUAAAGCUCUGUAAGUAGGGAAGAAAGAAAUGACGGUACCUAACGAAGAAGCCCCGGCUAACUACGUGCCAGCAGCCGCGGUAAUACGUAGGGGGCAAGCGUUAUCCGGAUUUACUGGGUGUAAAGGGCGAGUAGACGGUUAGGUAAGUUUGGAGUGAAAGCCCGGGGCCCAACCCCGGGACUGCUCUGGAAACUGUUGAACUUGAGUGCAGGAGAGGUAGGCGGAAUUCCUAGUGUAGCGGUGAAAUGCGUAGAUAUAAGGAGGAACACCAGUGGCGAAGGCGGCUUGCUGGACUUUAACUGACGUUGAGGCGCGAAAGCGUGGGGAGCAAACAGGAUUAGAUACCCCGGUAGUC
rnacentral:rRNA from 1 species